rnacentral:rRNA from 1 species
AGAGUUUGAUCCUGGCUCAGGAUGAACGCUGGCGGCGUGCCUAACACAUGCAAGUCGAGCGAGACGGUUAUGAUUGAUCCUUCGGGUGAGAGAUUAACUAGAAAGCGGCGGACGGGUGAGUAACGCGUGGGUAACCUGCCCUAUGGAGGGGGAUAACAUUCUGAAAAGGAUGCUAAUACCGCAUAAGCUGGCAGAUCCGCAUGGAUCAGUCAGAAAAACUCCGGUGCCAUAGGAUGGACCCGCGUAAGAUUAGCUAGUUGGUAAGGUAAUGGCUUACCAAGGCGACGAUCUUUAGCCGACCUGAGAGGGUGAUCGGCCACAUUGGGACUGAGACACGGCCCAAACUCCUACGGGAGGCAGCAGUGGGGGAUAUUGCACAAUGGAGGAAACUCUGAUGCAGCAACGCCGCGUGAAGGAAGACGGUUUUCGGAUUGUAAACUUCUAUCAGCUGGGAAGAAAAUGACUGUACCAGACUAAGAAGCCCCGGCUAACUACGUGCCAGCAGCCGCGGUAAU